GGUAUGAUGAUUUUUGCCAGCGGUGUUAUCCCCAGCGCCGCGGCGUACGUUUAUAACGUGCAAAAAUACUUUUCAGAAUGUU
ncrna:unclassified sequences Peptidase-S11 RNA